CGCACGUCCAGCUGUCCACGCCCGCUCCGCCGUGCGGGGACUGCCGGCCCGGCUGCCGCGCCGCCUUGUACUUAAGGUCGUAGCUACCGGUUUCCGGCCGGUGAGCCGCGCGCAUGCAUUUCGGUCCCCUCGCAUCUGCUGGAGUCCUCGGCGCCGAGAUUCCAAAGCAAACCUCGAAAAGGGUCUCCCGCGUGGCUUCGGGCAGAGCGGGGGCAGCAAGGUUGCGACCCACUUCGAGUCCAUGGCAAGUCGUUUGCAGGCGAAAAGCUAUCUGCCUCUUCAUUUUUGGAUCUGGUUUCAGAAUUUUUUCCUGAAGGACUUACGAAAUUCUUGUCGGCUUGUCACCUGACCGUAAACCACCCGCCUGGAGAUCAGCCUUCUAAGUUUUAUAGUUGUCUUCUGUUUAGUUAUUACAUGUAUGUAUUCGAGGUCGGCCCAACAAGUAUUACUUUUUCAGUUUAACAGAUGUGGAAAUCUCGGCCCAGAGAGAUGAGUUGACACCCCACCCCCAGAACUCGUGGCAGGGUCUAAAACCCAAUCUCUUUCACCGAAUCCAUUUUCACUCCCUCUCGCCCCGCGGGGUAAAAUACAAAUUCAUCGUGCUAGCGUUGGAGGCCUCUGUGAUGUGACUAACGUACAUUCCGUUUGUUUUUAGCCCACACUACUCUGAUCCGGAAAGUAUCUGUCCCGCCCCAUCUCUUCUUUCCUCAAAUACCCCCUUACAACUUCCUGUGCCAUUUCUCCUCUCUCUCAGCAUCUGCUUGGUUUCUCGGUACGUUGUGGGUCCCACCCGCUUCCUGACUUUUCCAGACCGAGAGUUGGGGGCGGCACCCACCCAGAGAAUCCCAUCCGGGGCACCACGUUACUCAGUCAUCAUGCCUCCUUAGGCUCCUCUUGGCCAUGACUUUCCUUGUUUUGGAUGACCUUGACAGUUCUGCAGAGUACUAGUCAGGUGUUUUGUAGAAUAUCCCUUCACUGUGGUAUGUCUGCUGUUUUUCUGGUGAUUAGACCAGGGUUAUGGGUUUGGGGGAUGCAGAGCACAGAGGUAAUGUGCCAUUCUCACCACAGCCUGUCAAGGAUACAUCCUAUCCACAUGAUUUAUGACUGUUGAGCUUGACCUUGAUUGCCUGUUUGAGGUCUGGUUUGUCAGGUUUCUACAGUCUUUUUGCCCCCCUUUGCAUGCUGUACUCUCUGCAGAGGAGUCACCAUGCUCGCACCUGAGGAGUAGGGAGAUACGCUCCACUCCCUGGAGUGCAGAGUAUUGACAUGAGUUCCAUAGAAUUCUUCUGCGUGGGAGAUGUGUCCCUUCUACCUCACUUACUUAUACAGUCAUUUAUUUACAUUACUAUGAACUCACAGUUAUUUAUGUUUUACUCUGGUUUAUAACCCAGUACCACAUUAUUUUGUUCAAGUAGCUCCAGGUUUGGGCAUUAGGAGAUCUUUCCAUCGACUCCUGUGACCCUUGACAUACCCCCAUCACUGUGCGGGUUUGGUUUUGUCUCUGUUUUUGUUUUACUCUUUUGAGCACUCCCUUACUUUCUUGCCUUCGCAGAUGUGCCAGAUUCAUCUUGACUAUUUCCUGCCCCAGUCCUAGAUUCAGCCAUUUCUCCAAGGAGCCCUGUUUCCUUUUAUUGGGGGAUGACAUUAGAAACAAAGAUCUGAGGCUGGGUAUGCUUGGGACUCUCUUUUCAUUAAGGAUGAUCUCACAUCAGCCCCCCUCCCCCCCAAGAAGACUGCCUCUUUUGUUUUUGCAGCAAGGGCCGUCGCGGUGGAAACUCACUUUGCUGUUUCAAAAAGCAAAACAUUAGUAAGGUAACUCUCCUGAUUGAAGUGCACAGUGCUUCCACAACCAAAGAAAAGUCAUUUCUGGGAUUUCUGCUGCUUGGAACUGCCCGAGAAGUUUUCUGAGUUUGGUAAAAGGCCACAUGGAGGAUUUCUAACAGGGGAUUAUCUUGAAUUUUCUGUGAUCUUGAUCAUCUCCAAUUCUUUUGUUUAUCUGUUGCUAAUACAUACAUUUCUUUAAAAUUAUAUUUGUUACAUAUUUUCUGCUACACAUAGUAAUAGAAAAUGUGGAAAACACAAGAGAAAAAACCCUCUAAUUCCUUCUGUAGCUGUAUUUCCAUCCAAUCUUCUCUCUUUGCGCAGAUCUUUGCUGAGGGGGUGUUUUUUAUGUUUAGAUCGAUUUUUAGCUAGUUUUCAGGUGGUUGUGUGUGUAAUUUUAUAUCCUGCUUUUUUCACUUAACACAGCGUUAAGUAGUUUGACUUUAUUUUCCUUAUGCUUGGAAACAGAAAUUUGAAUCGCUGGUAUAUAUACUUAGAACUUUGCCUUUAUUCUAAUCUUUUUAAUGAAAAAUGUUCAUAAAAUGGAUAUAUGUGGCGCCAAUGACAGCUUCUUGGCUGCUGUGGAACACAUUAGAGAGAGAUUUCUUUUUGCCCUUAGUGUUUGAGGCAAAGAGAGAGUGACCACAGGAGAUCCCAAUGCUAACCUAAGUCUGAGAAGUGAACCUCAUACUACAGGGAAUGACUGUCCCUUUCGCAUCCCCUUAGCCCUUGUCCCAGCGUGAGCUAAUUUUCCUUACAGUGCCAACGGAAUAUUAUGGCUUACCGUUGGGGGAGAACUUCCUAUUUUGGAAAAGGACGCAUAGGUAUUUAAAUCAUAUGGUUUAUCCGCAUUAGUGCAUUCUAAGACUUUAUAGUAAAAGAUAUGCUUUUGGGCUUCCCUGGUGGCGCAGUGGUUGAGAAUCCGCCUGCCGAUGCAGGGGACACGGGUUCGUGCCCCGGUCCGGGAGGAUCCCACGUGCCGCGGAGCGGCUGGGCCCGUGAGCCAUGGCCGCUGAGCCUGCGCGUCCGGAGCCUGUGCUCCGCAACGGGAGAGGCCACAGCAGUGAGAGGGCCGCGUACUGCAAAAAAAAAAAAAAAAAGAUAUGCUUUUAAGACAUCAAACUGUGAACAAUGAUAACCAGUUUUUUUAGCAGGUGGCUGUUUGCUUGGGGCCUCCUGGUGGCCCCGCCACCCCCCGCCGCACACACCACGGGCUCUUCGCUUCUGACUUCUGUCAGCGCGAGGACUGGCUGCUCCGUCCCUUCCUCCUGUUUAUGCCGCGUCUUCUUAUUCUCUUCCUGUUCCUCUUUCUGCCUCUUCCCCACUCUCUUUAAUUCACCGAGUAUUAUUAGUUAUUUUUCACAAACAUCCUGAGUAGCUCAGCAGAAUUAUUAUUCUCAUUUGCCUAUGAGGAAGAAGUGGCAGAGAAAGGUUGGGGUUACCGUCACCAGGCCCCUGGGACACCUCAUGAAGCAGCCCUGAACUGGAGUCCACCUGUCCGGUCCUCCCUCGUGCCCGAUGUCUCAGGUGGCUCCCUGAUGCCAGGUCCCCCCGAUUGCCUAACGCCCCGGGGGUUCCUCCCAGCACCAGGGCUCUGCUCUCCAGGUUCAGCCUCGUCAUUCCUGAAACCAUUGGUCCUUCACUCCAAGCCUUCCCAGCCCCUCUCAGAGCGGCUCUGCAGGACUCAAAGCCCCCGCGGUGCACCGUCAAGGGGGCUGGCACCAGCAGAGGUGACUUCAGCGUCAGUCAUCGUCAUCCUUAGGGCUCCUCACACCCCUCAACCCAGUGUGACGUAGCUCCUUCGGCAGAUGGUUUCUACAAGUCAAAUCACAAGGGUUGGGGUCCUUUCUUCCACUGGUUCUUCAUCAGCGGCCAGCCUAGCUGAAGCUGAGCGGGGCAGGGUUCGGUGUCCCAAGAGACAGCAGUGCCACUGAACCUUCAGGCCCUCCAGACUGCUCAGAGCAGCCUCAGAGAGCCUGGCUCCCUGUGUCCUCAAACGGUGGCCGCCCUGCCAUGGCCAGGCCUUGUAGCUCUGGCCAGGCUGAGCCACACAGAACCCUGGAGUUAGCAGACACCAGUACCUGCCCUUCUCAGCCCGCCUUGCUCAGCAUCCUCAUCUGAAGACAGAAGAAGGCAUCCUGCCCCAGGACUGUGGUGGACACCGCGGGGUAAGGCAUGUGGAAGCCACUGGAAACGGACAGCACUUGUCCGCACCUGCUGCCCACAGAAAGCCCAGCACUGCCCCCUCCCCACUAGGCUAAGAGCCAGCAAGCCCUUCAGAAUGGAGGGCUUCCAGCACGACUGGCAGGCACGGUCAUUUUCAGGGAGACCAACUCUGAGAUUGUGUCCCCACAAGAUGAGUCACCACCUCUCAUUCCUGGAGUCACGCGGAUAAUCAGGCUCUCAUGAGCCAGUUGGCGGUCAGCCUUAAGCACAGCACAGGGUCUGUGCCAGGAGAAAUCUGGGCAGCUUUCUGUCACCAUGGGAGACACAACCUACCACCUGGAGCCCCUGAGACAACCCUUCCCCCGCUGGGCCUGCCCCCGCUCUCCCUGACCCUCUACCACCAUCCUUGAGAACCAGCCUCUCAGGUCCUCUGCACUGGAAGCAAUUCACGCCAAAGCAAGAAGAGCUGAAAGAUGUUCUCCCUGGAGGUUUAUAAAAUUAUGAAGCUGUAGAGAGAUUGCUGAGCAGACAAACUGCACUGUGAUUGGUCUGGCUUGGAUUCCUGCACCCAGUGAACCUGGCUCUUACUACAGAUUCUCUUACAGGCCGAUGCCUGACUUCGCUGAGCCCUCACUUGCAAGUCCAGUCUCUGGUCCAUACCUUUCGCCUAACCCUGCUGCCUUAAGAUCCCGUAGCUUGAGGGGGCCUAGAAGUCAGACAUCCCAGUGACAAUGAGUAUGUCUAAUGCCCUGGUCUUGGUUUCUGUUUGCCCUUCUCCACUAAGGGGACCAGGGCUGGUGCAGAAGUGUGAGGGCCUGGACCAUCAUACACCAGAGAGUAAGGAAGCGCUCAGAAAACCAUGAGGGUGUGUCAAAAGGACUCAGGAGUCAGCUUAAAGGGACUGCUUCUGGCCAAAUGUGGGACAUGGUGAACAUUAAAACAGUGAUAGCAAUGAACUCUAUCCCAUAUCAUAAAAUAACCCAUGGGGCAUACUGACACUUGAAGGAGAAGCAGAAGAAUGUCAACCAACAACUGUAAAAGGAAUGGUGGGGUUAGGAAAUUCACGUUGGAUAUUCAGACUGGUGGGUGAAAGCUUGAUGAGGAACAGGAUACUUAUUUCAAAGUCUCUCCUCUCAAGCUAUUAAUUACAAAGGGGAAAUAGUCACUUUACAGUGGAGAAACCCGGCAAACACCACCUUUACCAAACAAACACCCUGCAGCCCUGCCGUUUAAGCUUCCAUAAGUCACCUGCUGAAGUGCCCUCCAGGAGUGACCUUUGUCCCUGUGCAUAUGGUGUGCUCAGCAACUUGUGCUCAGUGUCAGGCUGUGAACUUGAAUGCAGCUGAAUUCAGCCCACGUACACGUCACUACAGUGAUUACUGACCAAAGAGGUACUUUCAACUCAAAAAAUACCUGUCUUCUAUGGGUGGCCCCUUGGCAUACAGGUCAGACUUGACUUUGAAUUUUUGCCAAACUGUGGGAGCUCAGGCAAGCUGCUUAAUCUCUCUGAGCUUCACUCUUCCAUCUAUAUAAUGGAGAUAAUAAUACCUAUUGAAUGAAUCAGCAGUUCCACUCCUAGGAUUUCCUCAAGAAAAAUGAAAUCGUAUGUCCACACAAAGGCUUGUACAUGCAUGUUCAUAGCCGCUUUUUUCAUGAGAGCCCCAAACCAGAAACAAUCCAACUAUUCAUCAACUGGUUAGCAAAGAAGGGAACAAACCAGUGCUCAUAUAAAUGAAUUUCAAAAGCGUUGCUAAGUGAAAGAAGCCAGACAAGACUUCAGAGUACAGGAUUCCAUUUAUAUGAAAGUCAAGAGGUAAAGCUAUAGUGGUCAGUGGUUGCCGGGGGCCAAGAGGGGAGGAUUGUCUACAGAGGGGUGAUGGGAAUGUUCUAUGUCAUGAACAUUGUGGUGGCGGUGAUUAAAAGCUUGUAUCCUUUUGUCAAAACUCAUCAACUUGUACACAUAAAAUUGCUGAAUUUUGUUGUAUGUCAAUUAAGCCUAAUAAAACUGAUUUUUAAAUA